rnacentral:rRNA from 1 species
UACGUAGGGGGCGAGCGUUGUCCGGAUUUAUUGGGCGUAAAGAGCGUGUAGGCGGCCAGGUAGGUCUGCUGUGAAAACUCGAGGCUCAACCUCGAGACGCCGAUGGAAACCGUCUGGCUAGAGUCCGGAAGAGGAGAGUGGAAUUCCCGGUGUAGCGGUGAAAUGCGCAGAUAUCGGGAAGAACACCCGUGGCUAAGGCGGCUCUCUAGUACGGUACUGACGCUGAGACGCGAAAGCGUGGGGAGCGAACAGG